UGAUGAAGGACAAAAAAAACUUUCUAAGGGAAAAAGAGGAAUCCUAAUACUUUACAUCUUUCUCAUAUUUAAAUAUAGUGCGAAGGGCAAAAAAAAAACUAGCAAUUUUUUUGAAUAAUUUUCUUAAUGAGAUCGACCCCUUCUUGAAGGAUGAGUUGAUCACCACAUGAACCAUUGUGACUAUCACUUAAAAAAAAAGCAAAAGACACAUCCCAAUACAUAAGUAACAUGAGUCCAUAUAGUAAUGCCUCCUAAAAUAUAUAUUGAGCUGUAUCUUAAAAUGACCUACAUUUUCCAAUGACAGCUUUUUCUUGAGAUCAAGCAGUGUGCUACUAUACAUCUCUGUCUACUCUUAUUGUAGAAUGGUCAUGGGUCGCUACGAUCUCUCCAGCACAUGAGCAUCACAAUGCAUCGGCGAAGUAUGUAGAAUCUGGACCUCUGCUCCCUCGCCAACAGCCGGCACCUCCGGCUAAACGAGUAGCACGAUGAGCUCUUCUCUGUCUUGGCCAUUGCACCUCUCGCUUUCCCCUCUCUUCCCUCCCUAAGUUUGCCACGUAAACUAAGGAGGAGGAAGAGUGGGAGUAGAUAAAA
rnacentral:lncRNA from 1 species